AACGCACAUUGCGCCCGCCGGAAUUCCGGCGGGCAUGCCCGUUCGAGCGUCAUCUCAAACCCCUCAGCGAGAGAGAAUAUCGAUCGCUGGUGUUGGGGGGCCCCGCGGCACGCCCGCGGGCCCCCCCCAAAAGCAGUGGCGGCACCUCCGCAAGCCCGAGCGCAGUAGCAUACAUCCUCGCGCGGGAACUGGCGGGCGGCGCCUGCCGUGAAAAGGAAAAGGAACAAAAAAAAACCUUGGUUUGACCUCGGAUCGGGUAGGAAUACCCGCUGAACUUAA
rnacentral:misc_RNA from 1 species